rnacentral:rRNA from 1 species
UACAGAGGGUGCAAGCGUUGUUCGGAAUUAUUGGGCGUAAAGCGCGUGUAGGCGGCUUAGCAAGUCGGGUGUGAAAGCCCUCGGCUCAACCGAGGAAGUGCGCCCGAAACUGCUUUGCUUGAGUACCGGAGAGGGUGGCGGAAUACCCCAAGUAGAGGUGAAAUUCGUAGAUAUGGGGUGGAACACCGGUGGCGAAGGCGGCCACCUGGACGGAUACUGACGCUGAGACGCGAAAGCGUGGGUAGCAAACAGG